GGGCAGCAUCCAGAUACAAGCCAUAACACCACCCCAUGUGUGUCCUCUGAAAGCUGCACACUAGGUCAAAGUGGAUGACCUUCCUGGUCACAGGAAGACUGUUCUUCAGUCAAAGUUAUAGAAUAGCUGUGAUCUCCGGCUAGAACUUCCAAAGGAGACCUCAAGAGUAGAAAUCAUAACUAAAACCAGGCAUGAUGGCUCAGGCUUGCAAUCCAAGCUGCUU
rnacentral:sRNA from 1 species